GACGAACGCUGGCGGCGUGCUUAACACAUGCAAGUCGAACGGUAAGGCCCUUCGGGGUACACGAGUGGCGAACGGGUGAGUAACACGUGGGUGAUCUGCCCUGCACCUCGGGAUAAGCCUGGGAAACUGGGUCUAAUACCGGAUAGGACCACUGCCUGCAUGGGUGGUGGUGGAAAGCUUUUGCGGUGUGGGAUGGGCCCGCGGCCUAUCAGCUUGGUGGUGGGGUGAUGGCCUACCAAGGCGACGACGGGUAGCCGGCCUGAGAGGGUGACCGGCCACACUGGGACUGCGAUACGGCCCAGACUCCUACGGGAGGCAGCAGUGGGGAAUAUUGCACAAUGGGCGCAAGCCUGAUGCAGCGACGCCGCGUGAGGGAUGACGGCCUUCGGGUUGUAAACCUCUUUCAGCACCGACGAAGCGCAAGUGACGGUAGGUGCAGAAGGAGGACCGGCCAACUACGUGCCAGCCGCCGCAGUAA
rnacentral:rRNA from 1 species